rnacentral:rRNA from 1 species
GGUUGAUCCUGCCAGUAGUCAUAUGCUUGUCUCAAAGAUUAAGCCAUGCACGUCCAAGUAUACGCUUUUACUCGGUGAAACUGCGAAUGGCUCAUUACAACAGUUAUAGUCGAUUGGACGACGCUAAUUACAUGGAUAACCGUGGUAAUUCUAGAGCUAAUACAUGCACCGAUGUUCAACCGUAAGGAAGAGCAGUGUCUAAUUAGAUAACGAACCAUUACGCUUUGCGUCUCUUUUGGUGAGUCAUAAUGAUUUAACAAAUCGAACGGCUUCGGCUGUCGAUGUGUCCUUU